rnacentral:rRNA from 1 species
GUGGCGGACGGGUGAGUAACACGUGAGAAUCUGCCCUUAGGAGGAGGAUAACAGCUGGAAACGGUUGCUAAUACUCCAUAUGCCGAGAGGUGAAAGGAUUCAUCCACCUAAGGAGGAGCUCGCGUCUGAUUAGCUAGUUGGUGGGGUAAAGGCCUACCAAGGCGACGAUCAGUAGCUGGUUUGAGAGGAUGAUCAGCCACACUGGGACUGAGACACGGCCCAGACUCCUACGGGAGGCAGCAGUAGGGAAUUUUCCGCAAUGGGCGAAAGCCUGACGGAGCAAUACCGCGUGAGGGAUGACGGCCUGUGGGUUGUAAACCUCUUUUCUCAAGGAAGAAGUUCUGACGGUACUUGAGGAAUAAGCAUCGGCUAACUCUGUGCCAGCAGCCGCGGUAAUACAGAGGAUGCAAGCGUUAUCCGGAAUCACUGGGCAUAAAGCGUCUGUAGGUUGUUUAGUAAGUCUGCUGUUAAAGACUGGGGCUUAACCCCAGAAAAGCAGUGGAAACUGCUAGACUCGAGUGUGGUAGAGGUAGAGGGAAUUCCUAGUGUAGCGGUGAAAUGCGUAGAUAUUAGGAAGAACACCAAUGGCGAAGGCACUCUACUGGGCCAUAACUGACACUGAGAGACGACAGCUAGGGGAGCAAACGGGAUUAGAUACCCCGGUAGUCCUAGCCGUAAACGAUGGAUACUAGAUGUUGCACGUAUUAACCCGUGCAGUAUCGUAGCUAAGGCGUUAAGUAUCCCGCCUGGGAAGUACGCUCGCAAGAGUGAAA